UACGGAGGGUGCGAGCGUUGUCCGGAAUCACUGGGCGUAAAGGGCGCGUAGGCGGCGCGGGAAGUCCGUGGUGAAAGCCCGAGGCUCAACUUCGGGUCGGCCAUGGAUACUCCUGGGCUCGAGCACUGUAGAGGCAGGUGGAAUUCCGGGUGUAGCGGUGGAAUGCGUAGAGAUCCGGAAGAACACCGGUGGCGAAGGCGGAUCUCUGGGCCAUUACUGACGCUGAGGAGCGAAAGCGUGGGGAGCGAACAGG
rnacentral:rRNA from 1 species